CCUACGGGAGGCAGCAGUCGAGAAUCAUUCACAAUGGGGGAAACCCUGAUGGUGCGACGCCGCGUGGGGGAAUGAAGGUCUUCGGAUUGUAAACCCCUGUCAUGUGGGAGCAAAUUAAAAAGAUCGUACCACAAGAGGAAGAGACGGCUAACUCUGUGCCAGCAGCCGCGGUAAUACAGAGGUCUCAAGCGUUGUUCGGAAUCACUGGGCGUAAAGCGUGCGUAGGCUGUUUCGUAAGUCGUGUGUGAAAGGCGCGGGCUCAACCCGCGGACGGCACAUGAUACUGCGAGACUAGAGUAAGGGAGGGGGAACCGGAAUGCUCGGUGUAGCAGUGAAAUGCGUAGAUAUCGAGAGGAACACUCGUGGCGAAGGCGGGUUCCUGGACAUUAACUGACGCUGAGGCACGAAGGCCAGGGGAGCGAAAGGGAUUAGAUACCCCAGUAGUC
rnacentral:rRNA from 1 species